rnacentral:rRNA from 1 species
GGGUGAGUAACGCGUAAGGAACUUGCCUCUUGGUCUGGGACAACUGUUGGAAACGACAGCUAAUACCGGAUAUUAUGAGAUUCUCGCAUGAGAAACUUAUGAAAGCUAUAUGCGCCAAGAGAGAGCCUUGCGUUCCAUUAGCUAGUUGGUGGGGUAACGGCCCACCAAGGCGACGAUGGAUAGCCGGCCUGAGAGGGUGAACGGCCACAAGGGGACUGAGACACGGCCCUUACUCCUACGGGAGGCAGCAGUGGGGAAUAUUGGACAAUGGGCCACAAGCCUGAUCCAGCAAUUCUGUGUGCACGAUGAAGGUCUUCGGAUUGUAAAGUGCUUUCAGUUGGGAAGAAGAAAGUGACGGUACCAACAGAAGAAGCGACGGCUAAAUACGUGCCAGCAGCCGCGGUAAUACGUAUGUCGCAAGCGUUAUCCGGAUUUAUUGGGCGUAAAGCGCGUCUAGGCGGAAAAAUAAGUCUGAUGUUAAAAUGCGGGGCUCAACUCCGUAUUGCGUUGGAAACUGUUUUUCUAGAGUACUGGAGAGGUGGGCGGAACUACAAGUGUAGAGGUGAAAUUCGUAGAUAUUUGUAGGAAUGCCGAUGGAGAAGUCAGCUCACUGGACAGA